GGAUGAACGCUAGCGACAGGCUUAACACAUGCAAGUCGAGGGGCAUCACGGGUAGCAAUAUCUGGUGGCGACCGGCGAACGGGUGAGUAACGCGUAUGCAACCUACUUGUAAACGGGAGACAACCUGGAGAAAUUUGGGCUAAACUUCCAUGAGGCAUUAUUACUGCAUGGUAAUGAUGUCAAACGUAAGGUUUACAAAUGGGCAUGCGUAUGAUUAGCUAGUUGGUAGGGUAAUAGCCUACCAAGGCGACGAUCAUUAGGGGUUCUGAGAGGAAGGUCCCCCACAUUGGAACUGAGAUACGGUCCAAACUCCUACGGGAGGCAGCAGUGAGGAAUAUUGGUCAAUGGACAGAAGUCUGAACCAGCCAAGUCGCGUGAAGGAAGAAGGUCUUACGGAUUGUAAACUUCUUUAGCAGGGGAAUAAAAGACGAUACGAGUUAUCGUGUUGAAAGUACUUUGCGAAAAAGGAUCGGCUAACUCCGUGCCAGCAGCCGCGGUAAUACGGAGGAUCCGAGCGUUAUCCGGAUUUAUUGGGUUUAAAGGGUGCGUAGGCGGAUUGUUAAGUCAGCGGUGAAAUUUUGCAGCUUAACUGUAAAAUUGCCGUUGAAACUGAUGAUCUUGAGGAUAGUUGAGGUAAGUGGAAUGUGUUGUGUAGCGGUGAAAUGCAUAGAUAUAACACAGAACACCGAUUGCGAAGGCAGCUUACUAGACUAUAACUGACGCUGAGGUACGAAAGCGUGGGGAUCAAACAGGAUUAGAUACCCUGGUAGUCCACGCUGUAAACGAUGAAUACUAGCUGUAUGCGAUAUACAGUAUGCGGCGGAGCGAAAGCAUUAAGUAUUCCACCUGGGGAGUACGUUCGCAAGAAUGAAACUCAAAGGAAUUGACGGGGGCCCGCACAAGCGGAGGAACAUGUGGUUUAAUUCGAUGAUACGCGAGGAACCUUACCCGGGCUUGAAAUACUAUCGAUGUAUGGGGAAACCCAUAUUCCAGCAAUGGCGAUAGUGUAGGUGCUGCAUGGUUGUCGUCAGCUCGUGCCGUGAGGUGUCGGCUUAAGUGCCAUAACGAGCGCAACCCUUAUCAUUAGUUACUAACAGGUAGAGCUGAGGACUCUAAUGAGACUGCCGCCGUAAGGUGAGAGGAAGGUGGGGAUGACGUCAAAUCAGCACGGCCCUUAUGUCCGGGGCGACACACGUGUUACAAUGGUAGUUACAGAGGGGAGCGAAGCAGUGAUGUGGAGCGAAUCUCAGAAAAGCUACCCAAGUUCGGAUUGAGGUCUGCAACUCGACCUCAUGAAGCCGGAAUCGCUAGUAAUCGCGCAACAUCAUGGUGCGGUGAAUACGUUCCCGGGCCU
rnacentral:rRNA from 1 species